CUCCUGGGGCCUGCGGUCAUAUAUAUAUUACAUAGACAAUAAAAAAAUAUUUCAACGCCAUCUUUUGCGUAUAUGCGGGAAUAAUACCUCAAAUCGAUGUAGUGGUAUGUCAUCCGCUAUACUAAACGGUUUUUGGUUUUAUAAGUGACAGUGAUUUGAAGUAUUCUCAUUUCGAAGUUGACGGUGGCUGUGCGACGGCAAACACGUGUUGUUGGCAGACCAUCUCGGGGACGCACAUGACGUGGACCAAGCAUUAGAGGAGGCUGA